rnacentral:rRNA from 1 species
CCUACGGGAGGCAGCAGUGAGGAAUAUUGGUCAAUGGGCGCGAGCCUGAACCAGCCAAGUCGCGUGAGGGAUGACGGCCCUACGGGUUGUAAACCUCUUUUGCCGGGGAGCAACGGGCGCCACGUGUGGCGCCACUGAGAGUACCCGGAGAAAAAGCAUCGGCUAACUCCGUGCCAGCAGCCGCGGUAAUACGGAGGAUGCGAGCGUUAUCCGGAUUUAUUGGGUUUAACGGGUGCGUAGGCGGACAGUUAAGUCAUGGGUAAAAUUGAGGGGCUCAACCCCUUCCCGCCAUUGAAACUGGCGCUCUUGAGUGGAAGAGAAGUAUGCGGAAUGCGUGGUGUAGCGGUGAAAUGCAUAGAUAUCACGCAGAACCCCGAUUGCGAAGGCAGCAUGCCGGCUUCCGACUGACGCUGAAGCACGAAAGCGUGGGGAUCGAACAGGAUUAGAUACCCUUGUAGUC